AGUGAACGCUGGCGGUAGGCCUAACACAUGCAAGUCGAACGGCAGCACAGUAAGAGCUUGCUCUUACGGGUGGCGAGUGGCGGACGGGUGAGGAAUACAUCGGAAUCUACUUUUUCGUGGGGGAUAACGUAGGGAAACUUACGCUAAUACCGCAUACGACCUACGGGUGAAAGCAGGGGAUCUUCGGACCUUGCGCGAUUGAAUGAGCCGAUGUCGGAUUAGCUAGUUGGCGGGGUAAAGGCCCACCAAGGCGACGAUCCGUAGCUGGUCUGAGAGGAUGAUCAGCCACACUGGAACGGGGACACGGUCCAGACUCCUACGGGAGGCAGCAGUGGGGAAUAUUGGACAAUGGUCGGAAGCCUGAUCCAGCCAUACCGCGUGGGUGAAGAAGGCCUUCGGGUUGUAAAGCCCUUUUGUUGGGAAAGAAAAGCAGCAGGUUAAUACCCCGCUGUUCUGACGGUACCCAAAGAAUAAGCACCGGCUAACUUCGUG
rnacentral:rRNA from 1 species